rnacentral:rRNA from 1 species
UACGUAGGUGGCAAGCGUUGUCCGGAAUCACUGGGCGUAAAGGGCGCGUAGGUGGUGGCUUAAGCGUGCGGUGAAAGCUCGGAGCUCAACUCCGAGUCGGCCGUGCGAACUGGGCUCACUGGAGCAUAGUAGAGGCAGGUGGAAUUCCGGGUGUAGCGGUGGAAUGCGUAGAUAUCAGGAGGAACACCAAUAGCGAAGGCAGCUCGCUGGGACGGUACUGACGCUAAGGCGCGAAAGCGUGGGGAGCGAACAGG